ensembl:lncRNA
GUUGGUCCCAAGACGCUUGUUGGUCCCAAGACGCUUGUUGGUCCCAAGACGCUUGUUGGUCCCAAGACGCUUGUUGGUCCCAAGACGCUUGUUGGGCCCAAGACGCUUGUUGGGCCCAAGACGCUUGUUGGGCCCAAGACGCUUGUUGGGCCCAAGACGCUUGUUGGGCCCAAACCGUUCGGGGGAACAAACAAACGCUUGAUCUCUUUCACUGCAGAUGCAGAAGUGUGACAUCGGAGGAUGCGGUGGACUGACACAAAACAACAGAUAUCUCAAGCUUAUAAACGGACAGAUUUGUAUGAGGAUUUUUUAUUAUUAUUAUGCUAAUUAGAUCGAAGGGUUAAUAGCCUCAAAGCUAGAAACAAACACUUACAGUAGCGUGUAGAAACUAUGGGUGAUCCCAGCGGGAAUCCAACCCGCAACCCUGGUGUUACAAGUGCCAUGUUCUACCAACUGAGCCAAACAGAACAAUUUGAUAGAGGCGAUCGCUUUAGAAAAUGGAGGGCUGAAACCUGACCAGGGAGAUUCAGAACAGUCCUGAAGGUGAAACCUGACCAGGGAGAUUCAGAACAGUCCUGAAGCUGAAGCCUGGCUAGGGAGAUUCAGAAUUAGGGGAAUUGUGCAACACUAAACCUGGAGAUUGGCUUGGAGAGGAGAACAGGGAUGUAAAGGAGAGAGGGUGGACUAGCCUCCACUCUUAGCCUUACAAACAGAUCUGGGACCAGGCUAAGAGGGGGACCACUUCCUGUUAUGGUUCUUUACAAACAGAUCUGGGACCAGGCUAAGAGGGGGACCACUUCCUGUUAUGGUUCUUUACAAACAGAUCUGGGACCAGGCUAAGAGGGGGACCACUUCCUGUUAUGGUUCUUUACAAACAGAUCUGGGACCAGGCUAAUAGGGGGACCACUUCCUGUUAUGGUUCUUUACAAACAGAUCUGGGACCAGGCUAAGAGGGGGACCACUUCCUGUUAUGGUUCUUUACAAACAGAUCUGGGACCAGGCUAAGAGGGGGACCACUUCCUGUUAUGGUUCUUUACAAACAGAUCUGGGACCAGGCUAAGAGGGGGACCACUUCCUGUUAUGGUUCUUUACAAACAGAUCUGGGACCAGGCUAAGAGGGGACCACUUCCUGUUAUGGUUCUUUACAAACAGAUCUGGGACUAUUUUUUUAUAUGGAGUUGCCUUUUCGUUGGUGCACCUUUUUGAAUGAAACACCCUAUUCCCUAUAUAGUGCACUACUCUUGACCAGGGCCCAUAGGGUAGUAGUUCACUAUAUACAGGGCAUUUGGAAAGUAUUCAGACCCCUUGAUGUUUUACACACUUUGUUUCAUUACAGCCAUAUUAGAAAAUGGAUUUUUUUUUUUUUUAACUAUCCUUCAUCAAUCUACAUACAAUACCCCAUAGUGACAUCACAAUACCCCAUAGUGACAUCACA